rnacentral:rRNA from 1 species
UACGAAGGGGGGCUAGCGUGCUCGGAAUCACUGGGCGUAAAGCGCACGUAGGCGGAUUGCUAAGUCAGGGGUGAAAUCCUGGAGCUCAACUCCAGAACUGCCUUUGAUACUGGCGAUCUUGAUUCCGGGAGAGGUGAGUGGAACUCCGAGUGUAGAGGUGAAAUUCGUAGAUAUUCGGAAGAACACCAGUGGCGAAGGCGGCUCACUGGCCCGGUACUGACGCUGAUGUGCGAAAGCGUGGGGGAGCAAACAGG